rnacentral:lncRNA from 10 species
CCUUUACUGCUAACACUUUACAGACGAGGAAACCGAGGCUUAUAAUGGGAAGUAGCUUGAUGAGAGAUUUUGGGGCCCUCAUGCAGAAUUCUUUGUGCCUUAUUCUCCAGCAAUGGAACUUCGGCAUCUAGAGAUUUCAAGAUUACAUUUGGGAGGCAAGUCCCUAGGACUUGAGACAAGCUGCAGCAUUCACCUGCAAGUGUGGCUUGCAAAUCAGCAGACUUUGGAGCCAUUGGAAAAGGCUACUUCCAGCUACAAAGUGAAAAGAUAUAAGCAGCGUGUGCUGUAGACUGAGGUAGUAUCUUCGAGUUCUGUCAUUGGCACCUAUCAGUGGCUGAGAUAUCCUGGGUUGAAGUCUGCAAGGUCCAGCAUAAUGUAUUAUGCAUGAAAAGACAUCUCCUGUUACUUCAUUUUUGUAAAAGAUUACCUCAAUACUC